CGGAGGAAAAGAAACCAACAGGGAUUGCCUCAGUAACGGCGAGUGAAGCGGCAAAAGCUCAAAUUUGAAAUCCCCCGGGAAUUGUAAUUUGAAGAGAUUUGGGUCCGGCCGGCNGGGGUUAAGUCCACUGGAAAGUGGCGCCACAGAGGGUGACAGCCCCGUGAACCCCUUUAACGCCCUCAUCCCAGAUCUCCAAGAGUCGAGUUGUUUGGGAAUGCAGCUCUAAGUGGGUGGUAAAUUCCAUCUAAAGCUAAAUACCGGCGAGAGACCGAUAGCGAACAAGUACAGUGAUGGAAAGAUGAAAAGCACUUUGAAAAGAGAGUGAAAAAGUACGUGAAAUUGUUGAAAGGGAAGGGCUUGCAAGCAGACACUUAACUGGGCCAGCAUCGGGGCGGCGGGNANCAAAACCACCGGGGAAUGUACCUUUCGAGGAUUAUAACCCCGGCCCUU
rnacentral:rRNA from 1 species